rnacentral:rRNA from 1 species
CCUACGGGUGGCUGCAGUGGGGAAUAUUGGGCAAUGGAGGCAACUCUGACCCAGCAAUGCCGCGUGAGUGAUGAAGGUAAUUUUAUUGUAAAGCUCUUUUCUUUGGAACGAAUAAAUGACGGUACCAAAGGAAUAAGCCCCGGCUAACUACGUGCCAGCAGCCGCGGUAAUACGGAGGAUGCGAGCGUUAUCCGGAUUUAUUGGGUUUAAAGGGUGCGUAGGCGGGCUGUUAAGUCAGCGGUAAAAGCCCGGGGCUCAACCCCGGCGAGCCGUUGAAACUGGCUGUCUUGAGAUGUCGAGAGGUAUGCGGAAUGCGCAGUGUAGCGGUGAAAUGCUUAGAUAUUGCGCAGAACUCCGAUUGCGAAGGCAGCAUACCGGCGGCGAUCUGACGCUGAGGCACGAAAGCGUGGGUAUCGAACAGGAUUAGAUACCCCAGUAGUC